UUAUUUUUAUAACAUGUUCAGAUGUGGUCAAGUGUACUCAUUUAUACUGUGUACUGUACUUACUUUGAACUGUUAAUGAUGAUUACAAAAAAGUUAGAUGAUUAAAAUUAUUUUAGUUUGUUAAUAUCUAAUGUUGCUCAGUUUAAGCACAUUUUGUCCCCCUGACCCUGAGUUUUUUUAAAUAAUAAUAAUAAUAAUAAAUAAUUUUACUUUAUAAUUUUUCAAACAGUAUUUUAUCUUUUUUUUUUUUUAUCUUGUAAAUAGAUACAACACCGUAAUAUUUGGUGGUGUGGAUGGUUAUUCCAGGAGGGUCAUGUACUUGACUGCAGCAAAUAACAGCCAUGCAUCGACAGCAUACCACUUCUUCUCAGACGCAACCCAAACAUUUGGCUUACCAUCAAGGUGAGUAUAGUAAAGAAAAAGCAAUAGAAUUUUAUGACCAAGGAGUGGAGAAUGUACAGAGAGCCAGGUUCAUGUUUUCCUCAAGAGGCACUGACCGAGGAAGUUUCAUAUCCGGCAAAAGUGUCCAUAAUCAAAGGAUUGAGCGCCUCUGGCGUGAUGUCAGAAUCAUGGUCACCAACAAGUACUCAGACAUGCUGCACUCCCUGGAGGCAGAAGGAUUGCUUGACAUAUCAGUGGUUGAGGACCUUUUCAGCGUGCGCUACACUUUUCUCCCAAGACUUCAGGCAGACUUGGACACAUUUUCAGAAGCCUGGAAUCAUCAUCCACUCUCCUCAGAGGGCCAUCGAAGUCCCGAGCAGCUGUGGCAGAUUGGAAUGAUGCACACAAAUAAUGACCGAUCUGAGAGAUACGAGGACAUCGAAGAGCCAGAUCUAGACUGGGACGCAGCAGCUACUUACGAUGCCUGUGAAGAUUUCGGAGUUGUUGUUCCAGAAUUUGAAUGUCCUUUGAGUUCAGAUGGGUUGAGGGCUCUUGAACAUCUGCUGAAUUCAACUGGUCCUAAUAUCCUUGUCGAAGAACUGCACUUGCUUUGUCUGGAGUUU